UCCUGCUUGCUACCUCCCUCAGCAGAGGAGGAGACUGAGGGUCCGAGAGGUGAAGGGGCCGGCUCCCAGGCACACUGUAAGAGCCAGAGGGCAGCCCUGGGCAAGGAGCAGAAGAGCCAGAAAGAGGGAAGGAGCCCUUUGAGGCAGGUCCUGCAGAGAUCCACACUCAGAGAUAUUGGCCCGCUUCGCUUCCUUAGUCACAUAGCUACAAUGAGGAAUGGCCAGGGCAGCUGAGCGGGCACAGAUCCUACCCUGGCCUGGGAAGUCAAAUUGGAUCCUCAAAGUGUAAAGAGAUUCUUCUUAGAGGUGGAAGAGGCAAGUCCAAACUUGUUUCCCAUAAGGGAGAGAAGCUGUCCACCCACCCAUCCAUCCGUCCAGUUAUCUACCUAAUCCUCCCAUCCAUUUACUCCCCCCGCCCCCCUUCACAAUUCCCAUCUAUCCAGUAUCUUCUGAUUGUAUUCUGGGCUAGGCUUUGUGCUGAGAGCUGAAGACUCUACAGAUGAGUCAAAUAACUCCCCUGCUCUCCAACAGCCCAUAGUGGGAUAGAAAAAGAUGAUGCAAAUAGACUAUAAAAACUAAACAUGUAAAUGCCACGUUGAGACACAUCAGGAGCUGUGGACCACAGAAGAGGUCCUCACUCAGUCAUUGUAGGGAACAGGGGAAGGGGACAUUACCAGAACCUCUGCAGUGAGUCCUGGUCUCCUGCGAGCCACGGCAGCACACGGCGAAUUACAGGAAAGGUAAAAAAAUGAGAUUGAGAAGAAGCUGAGCUUUGGGUCUGAUCAGUG